rnacentral:rRNA from 1 species
UGCGUAGGCGGAUUAAUAAGUCAGUGGUGAAAUCUUCCGGCUCAACCGAGAAACUGCCAUUGAUACUGUUAAUCUUGAGUUCGGUUGAGGUAGGCGGAAUGUGUAAUGUAGCGGUGAAAUGCUUAGAUAUUACACAGAACACCAAUUGCGUAGGCAGCUUACUAGACCGACACUGACGCUGAGGCACGAAAGCGUAGGGAGCGAACAGGAUUAGAUACCCUGGUAGUCC